GUAUAUCAUUAGUGCAAUAGAAAUUCCAGCAUAAAUAGCGUUAGAAAUAAUCUGAACAAAGGAAACAAAAUACUAAAAUACAAUAACAAGUAAUAGUAUCGUACAGUAAACACAUAUCAUCUAUGAAUAACCCUGCUGCCCCACCCCCAACCCCGGGAGGAGCGGACGAGAAACUCUAGGUGCCCCUAUCCUACAACCCUGAUACUAGACCUC
rnacentral:lncRNA from 1 species